rnacentral:rRNA from 1 species
UACCAGCACCCCGAGUGGUCGGGACGAUUAUUGGGCCUAAAGCAUCCGUAGCCGGUUUUACAAGUCCUCCGUUAAAUCCAGCUGCUUAACAGAUGGGCUGCGGAGGAUACUAUAAGACUAGGAGGCAGGAGAGGCAAGCGGUACUCAGUGGGUAGGGGUAAAAUCCGUUGAUCCAUUGAAGACCACCAGUGGCGAAGGCGGCUCACUGGCCCGGUACUGACGCUGAGGCGCGAAAGCGUGGGGAGCAAACAGG